CCUUGUUCCUCUUUCCUAGACGUGGAAACUGAGACCCAGAGAGGUUGAAUAGGUUGUCCACAGUCUCGCAGCUACCAAGUGACAAGCCACGAUUUGAUCUCGGGUCAGUGUGUUAGACUCCAAGUUGCGUGCUCCUGUCCCUCCCCGCGCGUCGGCGGAGCUCGGGGCUGGACUGGACCCGCCGAGGGAGGGGCGGACUGUCCUGACGGGGCGGGGCGGGGCUGGCGGCCUCCCAGGCCUGGCUGAGGCGCUGCGGCCGGGUCCCUCUCCACCUGCCGGGCCGAGCGCACGGGCCAUGGGCUGAGCCCCGCUGAGCCCGCCGGGCCGGCCAUGGGCGACCGCGAGCCCAACAAGAAGCGGCUGCUGGAGCUGCUGCGGGCGCCGGACACAGGCAACGCGUACUGCGCCGACUGCGGGGCGGCAGAUCCCGACUGGGCCUCUUACAAGCUGGGGAUCUUCAUCUGUCUCAACUGCUGCGGUGUCCACCGUAACUUCCCUGACAUCAGCAGAGUUAAAUCCGUGCGACUUGACUUCUGGGACGACAGUAUUGUGGAGUUUAUGACCCACAAUGGGAACCUCCGUGUGAAGGCCAAGUUCGAAGCCAGAGUCCCAGCUUUCUACUACAUCCCCCAGGCCAACGACUGCCUGGUCUUAAAGGAACAAUGGAUUCGAGCUAAGUAUGAGAGACGGGAAUUUAUGGCUGACGGGGAAACCAUCUCACUCCCAGGUAACCGAGAAGGAUUCCUGUGGAAGCGAGGAAGGGACAACUCACAGUUUCUGAGACGGAGGUUUGUACUUCUGGCAAGAGAAGGCCUCCUGAAGUACUACACAAAAGAAGGGGGUAAAAACCCCAAAGCUGUCAUCAGCAUUAAGGACUUGAAUGCCACCUUCCAGACAGAGAAGAUAGGGCACCCCCACGGGCUGCAGAUCACCUACAGGAGAGAUGGCCACAUCAGGAACCUGUUUGUGUAUCAUGAAAGUGGGAAGGAGAUAGUGGACUGGUUCAACGCCCUGCGUGCAGCCCGUCUGCAGUAUCUAAAAAUGGCUUUUCCUGAACUCCCAGAGUCUGAGAGAUGGUAUCUCACUUAUGUUGCCCGGGCUGGUCUCGAACUUCUGGUCUCAAGCAAUCCUCCUACCUCGGCCUCCCAAAGUGCUGGGACUACAGCUCGUGCCAUUCCUCACCAGGAACUACCUCAAACAAGGCUUCAUGGAAAAGACUGGGCCAAAGCAGAGAGAACCUUUCAAGAAAAGGUGGUUCGCCCUGGAUUGCCAUGAGCGGAGGCUGCUCUAUUACAAGAACCCACUGGAUGCCUUCGAGCAGGGCCAGGUUUUUCUUGGGAACAAGGAGCAGGGAUAUGAAGUCUAUGAAGACCUGCCCAAGGGCAUCCGAGGAAAUCGCUGGAAAGCCGGACUCACCAUUGUCACCCCAGAGCGGAGAUAUGUCCUCACUUGCCCCAAUGAGAAGGAGCAGCAGGAAUGGCUGGAAAGUUUGCGGGGUGUCCUGUCCAGCCCCUUGACGCUCCUCAACCGCCUCACUGCAUCAACAGAGAGUGGCCGCAGCAGCAGGUGACCCAUUAACUGAGGAACUGGCUGCCACUGAACACCUGGAGCGCCUUGUAGGAAGGAGAAGUUCGCACCUCGACCCUGGCUGCCCACCAUCAGUGCCCCGCAGUCAGCAGCCAUCCCUGGCAGUGAACUCUGCCAGGACUGAAGCUGUGGCUUUAUCCAUCAGCUCCCUGAGCCUUCCCCCCAACACACCCCAGGGAUCUGAGGAUCUGGUACAUAAAUGAACAUCUAUCCCCUCCUCCCCCAUAUACACCCAGGCUUGAAAUACCCUACAGGCCCAGAACUUUCUCACAUCUGAAAUGGAGGCAUUGCAAUGAAAAGGCACCCACAGCAUCAUGCAAGUGGCAUCUUGUUAAAAAAAAAAAAAAAAAAGUUUAAUCUGAAUCUAACCAUGAGGAAAUAAUCAGACAAAUCCACAUUAGGGGCAUUCUGCUAAA